rnacentral:rRNA from 1 species
AACGAACGCUGGCGGCAUGCCUAACACAUGCAAGUCGAACGAAGCCUUCGGGCUUAGUGGCGCACGGGUGCGUAACGCGUGGGAAUCUGCCCUUGGGUUCGGAAUAACAGUUAGAAAUGACUGCUAAUACCGGAUGAUGUCUUCGGACCAAAGAUUUAUCGCCCAAGGAUGAGCCCGCGUAGGAUUAGGUAGUUGGUGGGGUAAUGGCCCACCAAGCCGACGAUCCUUAGCUGGUCUGAGAGGAUGAUCAGCCACACUGGGACUGAGACACGGCCCAGACUCCUACGGGAGGCAGCAGUGGGGAAUAUUGGACAAUGGGCGAAAGCCUGAUCCAGCAAUGCCGCGUGAGUGAUGAAGGCCUUAGGGUGUAAAGCUCUUUACCAGGGAUGAUAAUGACAGUACCUGGAGAAUAAG